UAGGGAAUAUUGCAAAUGGGCGAAAGCCCGAUGCAGCAACGCCGCGUGGGCGAUGAAGGCCUUCGGGUCGUAAAGCCCUUUUUGAGGGGAUGAGGAAGGACAGUACCCUCAGAAUAAGCCUCGGCUAACUACGUGCCAGCAGCCGCGGUAAAACGUAGGAGGCGAGCGUUAUCCGGAUUUACUGGGCGUAAAGCGCGUGCAGGCGGAUUGGAGAGUUGGAUGUGAAAGCUCCCGGCUUAACUGGGAGAGGUCGUUCAAUACUUCCAGUCUUGAGUGCAGUAGAGGGAAGUGGAAUUCCGGGUGUAGUGGUGAAAUGCGUAGAUAUCCGGAGGAACACCAGUGGCGAAAGCGGCUUCCUGGACUGUAACUGACGCUCAGACGCGAAAGCUAGGGUAGCAAACG
rnacentral:rRNA from 1 species